CGAACGCUGGCGGCGUGCUUAACACAUGCAAGUCGAACGGAAAGGCCUGCAGCUUGCUGCGGGUACUCGAGUGGCGAACGGGUGAGUAACACGUGGGUGAUCUGCCUUGCACUUCGGGAUAAGCUUGGGAAACUGGGUCUAAUACCGGAUAGGACAGCUGUUUAGUGUCAGUUGUGGAAAGUUUUUUCGGUGCAAGAUGAGCUCGCGGCCUAUCAGCUUGUUGGUGGGGUAAUGGCCUACCAAGGCGUCGACGGGUAGCCGGCCUGAGAGGGUGUACGGCCACAUUGGGACUGAGAUACGGCCCAGACUCCUACGGGAGGCAGCAGUGGGGAAUAUUGCACAAUGGGCGGAAGCCUGAUGCAGCGACGCCGCGUGGGGGAUGAAGGCCUUCGGGUUGUAAACUCCUUUCGACAGGGACGAAGCUUUUGUGACGGUACCUGUAUAAGAAGCACCGGCUAACUACGUG
rnacentral:rRNA from 1 species